GACGAACGCUGGCGGCGUGCCUAAUACAUGCAAGUAGAACGCACAGUUUAUACCGUAGCUUGCUACACCAUAGACUGUGAGUUGCGAACGGGUGAGUAACGCGUAGGUAACCUGCCUGGUAGCGGGGGAUAACUAUUGGAAACGAUAGCUAAUACCGCAUAAUAUUGAUUAUUGCAUGAUAAUUGAUUGAAAGAUGCUAUUGCAUCACUACCAGAUGGACCUGCGUUGUAUUAGCUAGUAGGUGAGGUAACGGCUCACCAGGCGACGAUACAUAGCCGACCUGAGAGGGUGAUCGGCCACACUGGGACUGAGACACGGCCCAGACUCCUACGGGAGGCAGCAGUAGGGAAUCUUCGGCAAUGGACGAAAGUCUGACCGAGCAACGCCGCGUGAGUGAAGAAGGUUUUCGGAUCGUAAAGCUCUGUUGUAAGAGAAGAACGGGUGUGAGAGUGGAAAGUUCACACUGUGACGGUAUCUUACCAGAAAGGGACGGCUAACUACGUG
rnacentral:rRNA from 1 species